GGAAAUAGCUCAGUGGUAGAGCAUGUGCUUCACAUGCAUGAGGUCCUGGGUUCAAUCCUUAGUACUGCCA
rnacentral:tRNA from 1 species